GUUUGAUUAUUUAUAUCUUAAUUUUUUAUAAAUAUAUAUUUUUAUAAAUAGAUUCGGCUCUUCUGAUAUGCGAGCCGGCUCCCAACGUUCACCUACAAGGGCCGGCUCUUAGAGCCGACUCGUUCGCGAACGACCCAAAGUAGUCUGGACUGGUUGAAGCAGAGUGGGAAUGAUUAUUUUGAAUGUGUUUCAGUCUGCCGUGAAUCAUCAAAAUCCAUACACUGAUGGCUCCUUGCGGGACGAAGCAACGUUAACCCAGCUAGCUGAGCUGGCCAGUUGCAUUCUGCUGUUAAUCAUGAACCUGCUCUCCGCCACCAGUUAAAGGAGAUGAUUGAGGGUGAACAUGCAACACAUCAGAUGUAAUUGUCUGGAGCCUGGUGUUGUUGUGGCCAAGGAGCUUUCACUCAAAUGGAACCAGGUUUCGGCUGCUGUGCGACGUUGACUUCCUUCCUCCCAGACAUGUGAAUGCAUCUCCCGGACUGGACACAACUCGGAAAACAUAUUUUUGAGAAGAUCAGGACUUUUGCAAUGAAAAGGCCAUGGACAUUAUAUGUCCUGAUCCAAAGGGCAGGAUAGAAAUAUGCUCUCAGGCUCGAUUCCUUUGUUCAUAUCAUAACAUGACCUGAACCAAAGUUAUUCUAACGAUCUUGUGAUAUAGGCCUAGGUCAAUAUAUUGUUUUUACCUAAGCCUUUGUGUUUGUGUGUUUAAGUUUUUCGUAAUUGUAGGCUACUACCUUUAGCACUUGAAGUUAAUAAAGUAUUGUUGAAA